GUCCUUUUGAGUAUAAUUUAAGGUCGGGCCUGCCCAAUGAUUAAUUAAAUGGCCGCGGUAUACUAACCGUGCAAAGGUAGCAUAAUCAUUAGUUUUUUAAUUGAAAGCUUGUAUGAAGGGUUUAAUGAGAAAAAUACUGUCUCUAUUUAAAUUUAUUAGAAUUUUAUAUUUAAGUUAAAAAGCUUAAAUGAAUAUUGAAGACGAGAAGACCCUAUAGAGUUUAAUAUUUUGUUUAAUAAAAUGAUUAUUAGGAAUUUAAAAUAUUUAUUAAAUAAAAGUAUUUGAUUGGGGUGAUUAAAAAAUUAAUUAAACUUUUUUUUUAUUUUUACAUUGGUUAAUGAAUUAUUGAUCCUUUAUUUAAGAUUAGAAGAUAUAAUUACCUUAGGGAUAACAGCGUAAUUUUUUUUAGAGUUCUUAUCGAAAAAAAAGAUUGCGACCUCGAUGUUGGAUUAAAAUAAAUUGUUGGUGUAGAAGCUGAUAAAUUAGGUCUGUUCGACCUUUAAAUUUUUACAUGAUCUGAGUUUAAACCGGUGUAAG
rnacentral:rRNA from 1 species